ACGCUACAACCUUGUGAGACUUGAGCCUAAAUGUUUAUUUUGAGAGUUAAUAAUCUGUGCAUCAUUGUUUUCUAAAGUCGUUGCAUGAUCUCAUUUUUCUUUGCUUGGUUGCUACUUAGAAGGCGUUUCAUCAUUUAGUUCCAAAUGCUAAAACUCAUGCCUAUUUCAUUCAAAGCAUGCUAUUGAUUUGCAUAACACAUAUUCAAGAUGAAGU
rnacentral:lncRNA from 1 species